UACAUACCUUUCUCUUUUUCCUUAUCAGGGUCUUUGGAGGAAAGCCGAAAAGAAGUUCUACUUAGACGCUUCAUGGUAUACAAUUUGAUUUAUAAUCCUCUUCUAAGAAUCCAGAUUUAGUCCAGCCCAUGAAAUCACUAGAACUAAGUGGGGAAUACUUGUAAAAACCUUUUCUUCAAUACUUAUGUCCAUUUUACUUUUUUUUUUCAAAAGAAAUUAUGCUUAAAAUACUAUUUUUGGUUGAUCUAACAGCAAAUGAAGGACCUCUUACUCAUGGAGCACUUGUCAGAAUGAAAUGGUAAAAAAACCAGGGCACAAGUGCAGGUACAUUCACACAUCAAGAACAUGCAUCUGGGAGAUUUUGAAAGAAAAAAUGUUACACAAAUAAUUGACAAUCAGGCAUCAGUGAAAAAGACUGGAAUUUUCAAAACUGUAUCCUAAAAAGAGGAUUCCUAGGCUUUUGAAUGAUACCACAUUGUCAACAAAUGAAAGUCGUGUUUAUUUUAAAAAUUUAUAGUAAAGUCAUAGGUACACAAAAUAUAAAAGGAAAUCAGCUUAUUGAGGCAAGUUUGGGCCCAUCCUGACGAUGUUAAAUGAAGUCACUUCAUGAUGCUUCAUGUGGCGCCAGACAUUAGUAAUUCUCGUUGAUAAUAUGAAGUAUAAAUGAUUUAUGCAUUGUUUAACAGCUUAUCUUUGAUCAACCUAGUGGAGAGAAUGCUAUCAAAGUGUUAUUUUACAUUAUAUUUAUAAAUAUAGAAAGUGGAGGAAGUUUCUACCAAACGGAAUUCUAGAAAAAGGAUCGAAGUCAAUUUUCAAACAAUUGAAUUAGCUGUGAAUUGAUGUUAGCUGCAUGUGAGGUGAAAUAAUCAAAUUAAAAACCAUAUAAUUAUAAUGGGGUAGAUGUGUUCCAAAUUUCAAGCUUCUAUCUAUUAUGGUUAUAAAGUUAUGACGAGAUAAAGAUGAAAAUUCAUUUUUUCGAUCACAG